ACUUAAAUUGAAGAGUUUGAUCAUGGCUCAGAUUGAACGCUGGCGGCAGGCCUAACACAUGCAAGUCGAGCGGUAACACAGAGAGCUUGCUCUCGGGUGACGAGCGGCGGACGGGUGAGUAAUGUCUGGGAAACUGCCUGAUGGAGGGGGAUAACUACUGGAAACGGUAGCUAAUACCGCAUAACGUCGCAAGACCAAAGUGGGGGACCUUCGGGCCUCAUGCCAUCAGAUGUGCCCAGAUGGGAUUAGCUAGUAGGUGGGGUAAUGGCUCACCUAGGCGACGAUCCCUAGCUGGUCUGAGAGGAUGACCAGCCACACUGGAACUGAGACACGGUCCAGACUCCUACGGGAGGCAGCAGUGGGGAAUAUUGCACAAUGGGCGCAAGCCUGAUGCAGCCAUGCCGCGUGUAUGAAGAAGGCCUUCGGGUUGUAAAGUACUUUCAGCGAGGAGGAAGGCGUUAAGGUUAAUAACCUUGGCGAUUGACGUUACUCGCAGAAGAAGCACCGGCUAACUCCGUGCCAGCAGCCGCGGUAAUACGGAGGGUGCAAGCGUUAAUCGGAAUUACUGGGCGUAAAGCGCACGCAGGCGGUCUGUCAAGUCGGAUGUGAAAUCCCCGGGCUCAACCUGGGAACUGCAUUCGAAACUGGCAGGCUAGAGUCUUGUAGAGGGGGUAGAAUUCCAGGUGUAGCGGUGAAAUGCGUAGAGAUCUGGAGGAAUACCGGUGGCGAAGGCGGCCCCCUGGACAAAGACUGACGCUCAGGUGCGAAAGCGUGGGGAGCAAACAGGAUUAGAUACCCUGGUAGUCCACGCCGUAAACGAUGUCGACUUGGAGGUUGUGCCCUUGAGGCGUGGCUUCCGGAGCUAACGCGUUAAGUCGACCGCCUGGGGAGUACGGCCGCAAGGUUAAAACUCAAAUGAAUUGACGGGGGCCCGCACAAGCGGUGGAGCAUGUGGUUUAAUUCGAUGCAACGCGAAGAACCUUACCUACUCUUGACAUCCAGAGAACUUAGCAGAGAUGCUUUGGUGCCUUCGGGAACUCUGAGACAGGUGCUGCAUGGCUGUCGUCAGCUCGUGUUGUGAAAUGUUGGGUUAAGUCCCGCAACGAGCGCAACCCUUAUCCUUUGUUGCCAGCGGUCCGGCCGGGAACUCAAAGGAGACUGCCAGUGAUAAACUGGAGGAAGGUGGGGAUGACGUCAAGUCAUCAUGGCCCUUACGAGUAGGGCUACACACGUGCUACAAUGGCAUAUACAAAGAGAAGCGACCUCGCGAGAGCAAGCGGACCUCAUAAAGUAUGUCGUAGUCCGGAUUGGAGUCUGCAACUCGACUCCAUGAAGUCGGAAUCGCUAGUAAUCGUAGAUCAGAAUGCUACGGUGAAUACGUUCCCGGGCCUUGUACACACCGCCCGUCACACCAUGGGAGUGGGUUGCAAAAGAAGUAGGUAGCUUAACCUUCGGGAGGGCGCUUACCACUUUGUGAUUCAUGACUGGGGUGAAGUCGUAACAAGGUAACCGUAGGGGAACCUGCGGUUGGAUCACCUCCUUACCUUAAAGAA
rnacentral:rRNA from 1 species